AAGCCCAGCUUGCUGGGUGGAUUAGUGGCGAACGGGUGAGUAACACGUGAGUAACCUGCCCUUAACUCUGGGAUAAGCCUGGGAAACUAGGUCUAAUACCGGAUAGGAGCGCCUACCGCAUGGUGGGUGUUGGAAAGAUUUAUCGGUUUUGGAUGGACUCGCGGCCUAUCAGCUUGUUGGUGAGGUAAUGGCUCACCAAGGCGACGACGGGUAGCCGGCCUGAGAGGGUGACCGGCCACACUGGGACUGAGACACGGCCCAGACUCCUACGGGAGGCAGCAGUGGGGAAUAUUGCACAAUGGGCGAAAGCCUGAUGCAGCGACGCCGCGUGAGGGAUGACGGCCUUCGGGUUGUAAACCUCUUUCAGUAGGGAAGAAGCGAAAGUGACGGUACCUGCAGAAGAAGCACCGGCUAACUACGUGCCAGCAGCCGCGGUAAUACGUAGGGUGCGAGCGUUAUCCGGAAUUAUUGGGCGUAAAGAGCUCGUAGGCGGUUUGUCGCGUCUGUCGUGAAAGUCCGGGGCUUAACCCCGGAUCUGCGGUGGGUACGGGCAGACUAGAGUGCAGUAGGGGAGACUGGAAUUCCUGGUGUAGCGGUGGAAUGCGCAGAUAUCAGGAGGAACACCGAUGGCGAAGGCAGGUCUCUGGGCUGUAACUGACGCUGAGGAGCGAAAGCAUGGGGAGCGAACAGGAUUAGAUACCCUGGUAGUCCAUGCCGUAAACGUUGGGCACUAGGUGUGGGGACCAUUCCACGGUUUCCGCGCCGCAGCUAACGCAUUAAGUGCCCCGCCUGGGGAGUACGGCCGCAAGGCUAAAACUCAAAGGAAUUGACGGGGGCCC
rnacentral:rRNA from 1 species